UACGUAGGCAGCAAGCGUUGUUCGGAGUUACUGGGCGUAAAGGGUGCGUAGGCGGCUUUUUAAGUCUGGUGUGAAAUCUCCCGGCUCAACUGGGAGGGUGCGCCGGAUACUGAGGGGCUAGAGUGUGGGAGAGGAAAGUGGAAUUCCUGGUGUAGCGGUGAAAUGCGUAGAUAUCUGGAAGAACACCAAAGGCGAAGGCAGUGUCCUGGGUGGUCGCUGACGCUGAGAGGCGAAAGCCAGGGGAGCGAACGGG
rnacentral:rRNA from 1 species